rnacentral:tRNA from 1 species
AGAUGUGGCUCAGUGGUAAGAGCAUCCUCUUGGGAAGAGUGAGGCCCUGAGUUUAAACCUCAGGACAGCUA